rnacentral:Y_RNA from 1 species
GGCUGGUCCAAUGGUAGUGAGUUAUCUCACGUGAUUGUUCAGUCAGUUACAGAUUGAACUCCUUGUUCUACUACUUUCCCUCCUCCUCACUACUGCACUUGACUAGUCUUCA